AAAUUGAAGAGUUUGAUCAUGGCUCAGAUUGAACGCUGGCGGCAGGCCUAACACAUGCAAGUCGAACGGUAACAGGAAGCAGCUUGCUGCUUUGCUGACGAGUGGCGGACGGGUGAGUAAUGUCUGGGAAACUGCCUGAUGGAGGGGGAUAACUACUGGAAACGGUAGCUAAUACCGCAUAACGUCGCAAGACCAAAGAGGGGGACCUUCGGGCCUCUUGCCAUCGGAUGUGCCCAGAUGGGAUUAGCUAGUAGGUGGGGUAAUGGCUCACCUAGGCGACGAUCCCUAGCUGGUCUGAGAGGAUGACCAGCCACACUGGAACUGAGACACGGUCCAGACUCCUACGGGAGGCAGCAGUGGGGAAUAUUGCACAAUGGGCGCAAGCCUGAUGCAGCCAUGCCGCGUGUAUGAAGAAGGCCUUCGGGUUGUAAAGUACUUUCAGCGGGGAGGAAGGGAGUAAAGUUAAUACCUUUGCUCAUUGACGUUACCCGCAGAAGAAGCACCGGCUAACUCCGUGCCAGCAGCCGCGGUAAUACGGAGGGUGCAAGCGUUAAUCGGAAUUACUGGGCGUAAAGCGCACGCAGGCGGUUUGUUAAGUCAGAUGUGAAAUCCCCGGGCUCAACCUGGGAACUGCAUCUGAUACUGGCAAGCUUGAGUCUCGUAGAGGGGGGUAGAAUUCCAGGUGUAGCGGUGAAAUGCGUAGAGAUCUGGAGGAAUACCGGUGGCGAAGGCGGCCCCCUGGACGAAGACUGACGCUCAGGUGCGAAAGCGUGGGGAGCAAACAGGAUUAGAUACCCUGGUAGUCCACGCCGUAAACGAUGUCGACUUGGAGGUUGUGCCCUUGAGGCGUGGCUUCCGGAGCUAACGCGUUAAGUCGACCGCCUGGGGAGUACGGCCGCAAGGUUAAAACUCAAAUGAAUUGACGGGGGCCCGCACAAGCGGUGGAGCAUGUGGUUUAAUUCGAUGCAACGCGAAGAACCUUACCUGGUCUUGACAUCCACGGAAGUUUUCAGAGAUGAGAAUGUGCCUUCGGGAACCGUGAGACAGGUGCUGCAUGGCUGUCGUCAGCUCGUGUUGUGAAAUGUUGGGUUAAGUCCCGCAACGAGCGCAACCCUUAUCCUUUGUUGCCAGCGGUCCGGCCGGGAACUCAAAGGAGACUGCCAGUGAUAAACUGGAGGAAGGUGGGGAUGACGUCAAGUCAUCAUGGCCCUUACGACCAGGGCUACACACGUGCUACAAUGGCGCAUACAAAGAGAAGCGACCUCGCGAGAGCAAGCGGACCUCAUAAAGUGCGUCGUAGUCCGGAUUGGAGUCUGCAACUCGACUCCAUGAAGUCGGAAUCGCUAGUAAUCGUGGAUCAGAAUGCCACGGUGAAUACGUUCCCGGGCCUUGUACACACCGCCCGUCACACCAUGGGAGUGGGUUGCAAAAGAAGUAGGUAGCUUAACCUUCGGGAGGGCGCUUACCACUUUGUGAUUCAUGACUGGGGUGAAGUCGUAACAAGGUAACCGUAGGGGAACCUGCGGUUGGAUCACCUCCUUACCUUAAAGAAGC
rnacentral:rRNA from 1 species